rnacentral:tRNA from 1 species
GUGGCUAUAGCUCAGCACGGUAGAGCACCAGAUUGUGGAUCUGGCUGUCGCGGGUUCAAAUCCCGCUAGCCACCCCA